rnacentral:lncRNA from 1 species
GAACACUGGAGGCUCACAGUUCAGCUGAGCAAGAAGAAAUUAACUACUGGAUGUUGCUGGACUAUGGAAGAGAUGGUUGUCCGUGUGGUGGAUGCUGCUGUUGACUACAAUGAAGGGCUGGAGUAGAAAUGGUCAGUUUUUACUAGGAGGAGAAGGUCUUGGGUUUUGCUAAGACAGAGAAGAUGGAGGGAAGUGAGAGAGAUAGAGGUUCUGAAAUCAGUGUAUGGAGGUUUGGCUGGUGUCAAAAACGAAGAAGAAAACAAAUAGGGAGUGUAUGAUUGGCAAGUGUGGGGGGCACUAUUUUUUUUUUUUUUUUCUCUGGGAGAGGAGAGCGUGGGGUUAGGCCAUUUUUGUGUGCCUUCUCUAACAUGUAAUAUUAAUAUCUAUUUAUAGGUAUUUUUUUUUAUUUAUAAAAAAAUUGUUUUUUUAAUCAAGUAAUCUGAAAUCAUUUUAAUCCCUUUUUUUUUCUUUGCACUUUUGGUUCUCUUAUCUGAAUUGGUUUUUUAAUUUUUUUAAAAGGCAAUGUUAAUAUUAAUUGAAUGAAAAAAUAAACAAUAAUUUUAAAAUAAAAACGUUAAUAAAUGAACAUGUUGUAAACAAGUUUUUGAAUUAAGUAUUUUUGAAAAGACAUUGAGGAUACCAAAAUGAUACAAAUACAUAAAAAAAAAUUCUCUUUUGAUUGCUAUUUUUUUUAUAAUUUUAUUGAUUUAAUUUUUUCAUACAAUAUUUUAUUAUUUUUCAUUUGUUUAUCCAAUCUUGGUUUUCAUUCUUUUAAUUGAUAUAUUGUUUUUUUUUUUUUUAAAAUUAUUUUAUUCUUCGAUUAGUCCUUAAUUAUUUUCUUUUAUUUAGUUUUAUAUUGGAUUUAGUUCUCAUUAUUUUAAUUGUUUUUUUUAUAUACUUUUAUGAUUGAAAAUUUUACUUCAGGAUUUUUUGCAUGGUUGCCUUUUUAUAAGGUGAUCUUGGUCUUAUAACUUGAAGUUGGUUUUAAGUUUGAUAUUUUUGGUUUCUUUAUAUUUUUUUUUCAAAUUCAUCAUUGGAAAUUGCGUUAUUGGACCUUAGGCUUUGUUAUUUGUUCCAUUUUUUUUUGUGAGGUUAUUAUAAUCUUACAUCUCAUGUAGUAGAUUAAUCAGGUUAACUCGAGUUGAUUCUUUUUUUUCCUUGAUGUUUAUUUAUAUAUUUUUUUUUAAUUUUAGCAUUUGACAUUAAAUUAUUGACAUUUGAGCUUUAUGAUUUUAUUUUUUAUGGGUUAACCUUAGUAUGAAUUAGUCAAGUUAACUUGGGUUUUAUAGCAUUAGUUUUAUUUAACUUCAAUCUUUUUGCUAGGUUUUUUUUUUUUUAAAUAUAUAUAUAUAUAUAUAUAUAUAUAUAUAUAUAUAUAUAUAUUAUGGGUGGCGAGUUAGCUAAAUUAACUCAUGUUAACUUGUUUUUUUUUUUAAUUUAAUUUUUUUAAUUUUAUGAUUUGAUAUUAAAUUAUUAAUUUUCUUUCUAGAAGCUAUCUAAAUCUUAUAUUUCAGAUCAUAUGUUAAUUAAAUUAACUUAAAUUGAGUUGGAUUAUCAUCUUUUAUACAUUCUUAUUUCCCAUUAAAAAAAAUCUAGCCCGGUCUGCCUUGGACCACUAGCUACCUUUGUAGUUUACCCUUUAUGGAAUCUUUGCUUGAUUUUACAGGCGGUGACAUCUUCUUCUUCCUAUUAUAAUUAUAGUAAAACUCGAGUAAUGAGUGCACAUUGAUCAAUUCAUAUCUCAUCCCUUCAACAAAGUCCAAAAGAAAUCACACAUGCCUCAGAGCAUCAAGGGUGUUGCCACCGGCCACCACACCAACGGUAUAGUUCAGUUCUAGGCCGAUUUAUCAAGCAGCUCAGGCGUAUGAUCCUGUAGUGCCAUAUGAAGCUUCUUGUCAGUAAUGUAUCUUCAACGUCAAAGCCAUCAGCAAGACGAUUCAUGCAGCAGACACCGAACGUGAUUCGUUGGUAUACAAUAUAGAUUGCUUAAUCGAACAAAAAACAUGCAGAAAUAUCCAGAUAAUGCAAGAUUUAGCUCUGUCUCUCUCUAGAUAUCGUAGUGCUAAGCUGUGAAAGCCUAAAAAUAAAAUAGGCUACUUGAGGAAGAUCUGGAUGUGUAGAGUGAUAGUAAUGGUAAGGAAUUCUCUUUGUGGUUGCAUACUAAAUAUUUAGGCUCCUUAUUAGUUUUUAGGCUCCAGCUAUGCCUUGUACUGCUCUUUGUUUUGUUUGUGGUUGGAUUAUGCUUCAUGUUCUAUUACUCGAGUCUGAGCUUUGGACGUAGACCCCUCAAUCUGUCAAUCAAACUAAACAUGAAUCUCUAUCCCGUCUCAAGCAUAAAAAAAAUCUAAAAAAAUAGAGCGAGUGCAGGAGGUUUUGGAAAUGCCAAAACUAACAUGAUUUGAGGACAGCGCAAAUAUAUCUCAAAUAUAUAGCAUGAAUAUAAAGGCAAUCAAGAACAGCAAUACAAUCAAGCAGAAGCACAUAUAUAGCAUGAAUUUAAGGAAGCACACCACGCUUGGAUCUCUCUAUAUAUAUACAUGCCCGCUCCAACAUGCAAAUAAUAACUAGUUAGCUCGAGGCACAUCAACCCAAACCUCCUCGCCGAACAAGAUGAUUUUUCUCUUAGCUUCCACCCUGAACUGCGACCCGAGGCGAUGGUCAUCCUCACGAAGAAGAACAGCCCUGUCACCAACUCUCAGUCCAUAGUCGGCAACUAAUUGAAGCCAGCCUAUAGAAAGCACUGGCUUGUCGUAAUAUCCUUUUCUCUUCCUGCAACGAAUGACCCGAAGCUCACCGCUGCUGUCUUUGACGUUCAAAUCAACAAAAAAUUCCCCUGCGAAAUCAAGAUACUGUAAGGAACGAGUUGGGAAUGAGAACUGAAAUUGGAUAUCAGUAUAUUUUAGCUCUUUGUUAAACACCUCCAUCUUGAUUUCUUUGGGACUUGAAACGAGAGAGAGUCAGAGAGGGUACAUAUAUACGAGUAUACUUAAGAAUAGUCCAAAAAUAAAAUACUUAAGAGUCAGAGAGCGUUAUGCUCACCAUCACAAAGUGCGCGUCUGUCCACUUAUUGUCCAAAAUUUUUUGAAGUAGACUUAGUCCACAAUAAUAAGUCUUAUUGUCCACUUAUCUUUGGAACAAAAACUUUUUGUUCAUUUGGAGUCCAAUACUUUUUGUGCAUGAACAAAAACUUUUUGUUCAUUUGGAGUCCAAUACUUUUUGUGCAUGAACAAAAACUUUUUGUCCAAAUGAACGAAAACUUUUUGUCCAAAUGAACUAAUGGCACAGCAUUAAGUUUUGGACAGUAUGAACAAAAACUUAAAUGAACAAAAACUUUUUGUCCAAAUGAACAAAGAGCUAAAACUUUUUGUCAUUUGGACAGCAUUAAAUGAACAAAAAGUUUUUGUUCAUGCACAAAAAGUUUUGGACUCCAAAUGAACAAAAAGUUUUUGUUCAUGCACAAAAAGUUCUUUCUAUAGGCUGGCUUCAAUUUGUUGCUGACUAUGAACUGAGAGUUGAUGACAGGGCUGUUCUUCUUUGUGAGGAUGACCAUCGCCUCGGGUCACAGUUCAGGAUUGAAGCAAAGAGAAAAAUCAUCUUGUUUGGCAAUAAGGAGGUUUGGGGUGAUGUGCCUCGAGCUAACUAGUUAUUAUUAUUUGCAUGUUGGAGCGGGCAUAUGCAUGUAUAUAUACAUGCACAAUAGAGAGAUCCAAACUAUAUAUGUGCUUCCUUAAAUUCAUGCUAUAUAUGUGUUUCUGCUUGAUUGUUUCUAGUCAUAAUUAAUUAGCAUCGUUCUAGCUAAUUAAAUGAUUGUAUUGCUGUUCUUGAUUGCUUGUUCAUCUAUGUAUUUUGAAAUAUAUUUGCGCUGUCCUCAAAUCAUGUUAAUCUCCAAAACCUCCUACACUCGCUCUAUUUUUUAGAUUUUCUUUAUGCUUGAGACGGGAUAGAUUCAUGUUUAGUUUGAUCGACAGAUUGAGGGGUCUACGCUCAAAUCUCAAGCUCGAGUAAUAGAGCAUGAGGCAUAAUCCAAGCACAAAAAAAAACAAAGAGCAGUAGAAGGCAUAGCUGGAGCCUAAAAAACUAAUAAAGAGCCUAAAUAUUUAAGAAAUGUUCGAUAUAAUUAUAAUUUAUCGGUACCACUAACCUCUUUUAAAAAAUGGGUGUUCGAAUCGUGAUUCGAACAUCACUUCUGGGACUCUAAAAAAGUUCGAAUCAUGAUUCGUGUUGUAACCCAUUUUUGGGUCCCCAAAUAAAUGAAAUAAAAUAAAUAGUCAAAGGAGGAUAGAAAAAUAAUAGGAGGCAGAAGCGCUCGGCAAAUGGUCAGAAAAAUCGGUCAAGGAGGUUAAAAAUACAAAGAUUGGAUUUUUGAUAGUAUAUUCUUGAAGGAUGAGAGCCCUGUUGAGAAGGAAAUUUGAAUUUUGAGGAGAAAAGCCCAAAUUUGGAUGUUUAUGGACUUAAUUGGAUUUUUAUUGAAUUUAUAGGGAUUUGAUUGCAAGAAAAAUUGUUUUUUAAGUCAAUUUGGGCUUUAAUUGGAAGAAAUUUAAGUUUUGGGGCCAAAUUAUAAUUUUUAGGAAUUUAUUAAGUCAAAUCAGGGGUAUAAUUGCAUAAAUAUUGAAGUUUAAUGGCCAAUUAGGGACUUAAUUGAGAAAAUCCGAAACUAGGGACCAAUUUGGAAAAGGUGCCUUAAAUUACUGUUCACUUUCUUCCUCAAAAAGCUGCCUGAGUGGCUGCUUUCCAGGCGCGUUUUCCGGCUCGUGUGGCCUCCAAAUCCGACACAACAUACACCAACAUGUCCACAUGCAACCCCUUUAUCCCGGAGAAUGAUCAGGUCGGGUCGAAAAAGUCAUAAACGGCUCCGGUGAGUGGCUCAAUGUGGCCACCUCGGGCAGUUCACAGCCUGGAGCUGCCAAAUUUGGCAGCUCGAGGUGCACACUUUGAGCCAACGGUUGAGAUGCUUCCCAACUGAAUCAAGGGCUGAAAUUUUUCCCCAACGUAGAAAAGAUUGCCCUCUUCCACAGCCUAUAAAUAGAGUCGGAUUUGAUGAUCUGAGGGUCCAAAGUCAGCCAAAAACCAGCAUUUCGCCCAAUUUCUACAGAUUUUUCUUCUUCUUCUUUCUUCCUCUGCAACAGGAAACCGACGCCGUCUUCCUCCAACUCCACCGCUGCAACCACCGGCUGAACCACCUCAUCGCAGCAGCCACAACCUCUUCGGCCAAGUGAGCCCCUCUUCCUUUCCUCCUCCUUCCUUUUCCUUUCCUCCUCCUUCCUUUUCCUUUCCUCCUUUUUCUUCUUCUUCUUCCUCCCUGUCUACUGUUCACUGCAUGAACAGUAGGCGUGAAAUAUAAUUCACGUCCUACUGUUCACGCAGGACGUGAAUUAUAUAUAUAUGUGUGUGUGUGUAUUAUUAUAUUAUAUAUUAUAAUAUAUUAUAUUAUAUAUGUAUAUUUUUUCUUUAAAAAAAAUAUAUUUUGAAAAAUCUUAAAAAAUAUUGUUGAUUUUUCUGCAUGUUUUUGUCAAAGUGGUUUAAUGUUGGUUUGUAUUCUUAUACCGUAAAGAUACAAAACCAGUGUUAAAAAUACCCGGUUUUCGUCAAAAUAUCAAAGAUUUUCAGAAUAAAAAAUGUUUUUGCUUUCAAAAAAAUUCUAAAAAGUCCCUAAAAAUGUUGUUGAUUUUUCUGCAUAUUUUUAUCAAAUUGGAUUAAUAUUGGGUUGUAUUUUUAUACCGUAAGAAUACAAACCCAGUAUUAAAAUACCCGAUUUUUGUUAAAACAUCAAAAAAUAAAUAUUUUCCAAAAAAGGGUUUUGUUUUCAUGCAUACGGCCUAGUCUCUCCAAUAUAUAUAUAUAAAUAUUAUAACAUCAUAUUUUCACACAACAAAGAAAAUUUUCAAAACAAUAUAUGUAUUAGCAUGCAUUUUGGCUUUAAUAACCAGUUUAUUUAAGUCAUGAGAACUAGGCCAAUAUUUCAAAAAUUCAAAAAAUCUUUUUUUGUUUUCUUUUAGUAUUUGGGAUUACGAAUUUAUACGUAAAACGUAUUCCUAAAUAUUAUUAAUGAAAUUUUGGUAUGGACGUUAGAACGGUUAGGAUUUUACCCGAUAAGAUAAAGCCUUUCUUACCGAGGAGGAUUUUUCUUGAACCAUAGACAGACCAACAACUAGGAAAACACGAAAAUACCUUAGUUUUUAUCAGACAAUAAAACAAUGCAGCUUACCUUAGGUAGGGCGUAUUUGGGGUGCUAAUACCUUCCCUUUACGCAACCAGUCCCCGUACCCGAUCUCUGAGACCAGUUAGGGUUCCUAGUGACCAAAAUACUAGGUGGCGACUCCCAUUCCAUUUUCUACCAAUAAAAGACAAUAUUUUCUUGUAUCCCUAUAGAUAUAGAUAGAUUUACAUUGUAGAUUAAAAAAAUGGAAAAACAUGUUAGAUUUUCGCCGCGACGCCGCACACGUGCGACAAUUCGAACAUCACUUUCUGGGACUCUAAUCUGCAUACCUUAUCCAUUAUCAUUUGCCAAAACCAUCCAUUUUUUUUAGAGUCCCAGAAAGUGUACGCCUUCUAACUUGGAAUAAUGGAUCGCUUCCAAAUGAUAAUGGAUGGUUUGGGCAAGGAGUUAGCUUGGAAUAUAUUAUAUGGAGAUUAGUACACCCCCAACUUUUUUUUUUUUUUGGUAAUCGAGGUGUCCGGGCCAGCUUGCGCGCACCACAACUAAUCCCCGGGCUCACUGAAUAUCCUGCAAGCCCAAUGAGCAUGUAAGGCACCGCGGGGGUGACAGGCGUACACAUAGAGGAUCAAACCCGGGAUGGGAGCGGAACAAGUCACAUGAUUGACUACAGCAGCGGGACCCUCAAGUGUAGUACACCCCCAACUUUAAUAGUAUUAGUCCGUGUAACAUUAGUAAACAUGUACCACUGAACCUUUCAUUUAAUUUGUUUUUAUUAAAUUUGAUUUGAUUUUUUUAAUUUAUUUUCUCAAUUUCAUAUAUUAUCAUUUUAUUUUAUUUUUUAAUUCAAUUUUAAUUUUGAUUCUUUUAAUUGAUAUUUUUUUUUUAAUUUUAUUUUUUUUUUAAUUUUUUCUUACAACAUUUUAUUAUAUUUAAUUUGUUUAUUCAAUUUUAGUUUUUGUUCAUUUGAUUCUGUAUUGUUUUCGACAGCUUCAAAGAAGCAAGCUUACACUUAUUUUUGGACUCUUCUUGAGUAUACUCAUUAUAAAUGUCUCUCUCUUUUCACGUCCCAAAGAAAUCAAAAUGGAGGUGUUUAACAAAGAGCUAAAAUAUACUGAUAUCCGAUUUCAGUUCUCAUUCCCAUCUCGUUCCUUACAGUAUCUUGAUUUCGCAGGGGAAUUUUUUGUAGUUUUUUUUGGCCAAUGGAGAAAAGGACUUUGUUGAACGGAUAAGAUAUGAAUUGAUCAAUGUGCACUCAUUACUCGAGUCUUACUAUGAUUAUAAUAAUAAUAAUAAGAAGAAAGUAGCGUUUACAACUUUUUGCCGAAUACUUUUGUAGCUUGGCCGACAAGAAAAUUAUAAUUAUAAUAUCAAAUAAUAAAAUUAAAAAAACAUUAAAAAAAUCAAUUUAUAUUAACUUUACUUCCCCACUACAUGAUAUAUAAAAUCAGGAUAAUUCAAUUUUUUUUUAACAAAGUUAAAGGUUUAAUAACCCAGAAUCCAAUAAUAAAUUAAAAAAAUAUAUUUUUAAUAAAAAACCUAAAAGGACCGAACUUAAAUCGGUUCGGAUCAUUAAACACCUUAAGACCAGCAUUAGAGUUUUUUAUUUUAAAGACAAUUAUGUCCCUUUACUGUUUAUAUAUAUAUAUGCCUUUUUUUGCAAAUUUAUAAUUUUAUAAUUUACACAAUUGAAAUUUGAAAUACCGGCUCAGAGUUAUUAUCUUAAGCUCAAUACUCGCAUGCAUCUUUAAGGAAAUAAAUGAAAAUUAUAUUGAAUCUCCUAUAAUUUAGAUGGUUUUUUCAUUUUGCUUUAAUUGCUUGAAAAUUUGUACUUUACAUCAGAACACCCAUCAAAUCAAGUAAAAUGAUAUUAUUACAUUCAUAUAUAAUAUAUUAAAAAUUUACUGAAUCAACAGAACACCCAUUCUAUAAUUUUUAAGACUACUUUUAUCUGCCAACAAUAUAAAAGGCUAGAGAAUGUUGAGCAUUCAGCAGCACGACAUAAACUAAGUGUUUCCUAUCACUUCUUGUUCAACAAUAUAAACUGUUUUUGUUAAAAUAUAAUAUAUUUCUUAUAAAUUUUUCUUUUCUAUUUUUUUAGUUUCGAGAUACUAUUUUCGCAAAGAGAUUAACACGCUUGCUCUAGCCCUCUCUAGAAAACCCCCAAAUCAUGCUUCAUGGAUUAGGAAUGAGCAAAAAAAUUAAAAAAUCAAUUAAACCGGAAAAAAAAUAACUAAAAAACUGAAAUGUAAAAAAAACUAAUUAAAAUUUUAAAAAAAUCAACCAGUUCAGUUUCAGUUAUAUAAACCUACAAUAAAAAAAACCAAACCUAACCCAACCCAACAAAAAAAAACCAAGUUAAACCGGAAAACUCGAGUCAAACUGGUUUGAACCUGUUUUUAUCUUAAAAAACAGAACCAAACCGAAACCAGUUGGUUUGAACCGGUUUCUGUUUAGUUUCGGUUUUUUUUUUUUAAAUUCGGUUUGAUUACUUCUUUUUUAUAAAAAUCGAGUCGCACCGAAAAUAAUCACCCAUACUAUGGGUGCUAUUUGAGUUAUUGUUGUUAUUUUUCAAUGAUUUUUCUGAAUUUAUUAUUAUUUUUAUAUUUUAUGUUAGUUUUUUUCUUUUAGGGAUUAUAAUUUUUCUUCCUUGUUAAAUUCGGUUUUAGAUCUAUUUAAAGGCUUAUAAACCUUUAAGAGAGAGAAAUGCUUAUUAGAUUUUGUAUUUCAGAAAUAAACCUAGGAAUUAGGUUUUUGUGUUCAACAUGUUCGGUCAAAACUCCAUCUUUCUUGCCUCGUGUCUUCGUAUUUGUGCUUCAUUUCUUGUAAACGAUUAGCAGCUUCUGGGCAAGGUCCUGCUUGUAGUGAUCUGGGAGUCAGGCCAAACCUCGAGUCCAGGACUGCAGUCUAAGCUCAAGCCAGAUGACAAGGUUGCAUUGCGCAGUGCUUGCCCAAAAUAGACCAGUCAGGGGCGGGGCAACCAUGAGGAGAUUUAAACAGGAAAGUGCCUCUGACACAGCAAAAAUUAUAAAUAUAGAAACACUCUCAGAUCCUCAGUGACCCCUUUUUACCUUUUCAACUUGUGAACUCUGCAAUCUCUGAGGAUACACUGCUUACAAAAACUUAGUGCCAAUGCACUUGUGGCUUUGGUCUUAGACGACUUCGAGUUCUUGGUGACUCGGGAGUAUCAUGACUGGAUUGUGCUGUCAAGAUUGAGUUCAUAACGAGUUAAACAUCAAUUUAUGUAUUUAUUUUUUCAUUUAAACUCAGCAAGCUUAGUCAAUAAAUGCAAGAUUUGCCUAUAGAAACACAAAUUAAUUCAAAUAAGCCUGUUUGUGACGUACGCUCAGAUGCAGGUGUUGUGAUUGGAUGUUAAGAACGACGCUAUUCUCUCACAUUCACCCUUGAGAGAGAGUUAUGAUGUUACUGUUACUCACCUGGAGUUUCUCGACUUCCCUAAGAGCUCUCUCUGUUUUCAUUUCUUGAACUUCCAUGAACGUGAGCAUUUCAUAAUGUAUCUCCAGUUCAAGUGUCUAAAGCAUUUUUUUGCUCUACGUGAAAUCACACUUUUGCAGUUGAUCCAUAGGGGCUGUAAAACCGCUUUGCAAAUGAAUAAAGGUCGCCAUGAAUAGGGGUGGAGUAUUGCUUACAGCUUGAUCUCUGCAUGGACACAUAAUUUGCAAUUGCAUAGCAAUGUAAUCUUGUUAAUCUCGAAGAUUUCCCUUCAAGGAUGCUUAAACACGGGAGUUUUUGGAAACAGAAAGAGCUUGUCUUGCAGACUGUCGUUCCCAUGGAGUCCCGUUAUUGAUAAACGACCGCAUUGAUGAUGCAAGUGAAGCAACAAGUUUGGUAUCUAUCUUUAAGGUGGCGCCGAAUAGUGUUUCAUAAAAAUUCAAAACAAAACAAAAAAUGUAAUGUAAGCAUUGAAUAAUUUAUUUUAUUUUAUUUAAGCACAUGAAAAAUCAACAAGAAUCUCUCAUACAUAUGAUUGACAAUGAACAAGUUCUUUAUCUCAUGCAAAACCAGAAGUCCUAUCACGCAGCUUAUUUUGACCCUUCUAAGGAAUCCUACCCUCUGAAACAAGGGCAUGCAAUCCAUUCAACAUGUCAUUUAGACGGAAUAGAGGGCCCAUCAUGUCAAGGGCAUAUCGAUCUUUUUCGCUCUACAUGCAAUCCAUUCUCAUAUAUAUGAUUGGCAAAUGCAAUGGUAAUAUUGCUGUAAAAAGAAGGGCAACCAUAUGAACCUCAAAUUUGAGGGAUAUAUGUUCGUACUUGCCUGUCGACGAUGCAAAUCUUACAAGCCCAUGUGUUAGAUUCUUUGAAAUGCAGUAACCUUCCCUCUGUUAUUACAUUUAUGUAGUUCUUGGCACUGUAUCCUGAGUGCUGAACUGCAAAAGCUACUUAAAUAGUGUUUGAUAUCGUGGUGUUAGUGAUAUCAAACACUAUUUAAGAUUAGGAAUAAUGAAGUAAUAAGAGUUGAGGGUACCAAUAAACCUAAAAAUACUCCAAUCUAUAUAUGUAUAUAAGUUACCUGAUGCAAUCUGUUCAAUGCAUGUGUGGAUUAGUAGGAUUAUAUUCAUAAGACUAAAUUUCUUUCUACAUGCAUAGAUUUAUAAAAAUGAAACUCGAUCAUGAGAAAAAUAUAGUCAUGUGGCAGUUGUUUAUGUUGGUAAGAUAAUCAUGAGAGAAAUAGCUAGAGAAAAACAGGUGAAGAAAAUACUAGUUUAUCUGGCUCUAAGGGGAAUUGUGCUUGGGGGCAGUGGACCCUGGGGAAGAAAAUUGUCAUAGACGGCACUCUGGUCAAUUGGAGCUGUCAUGCUGGCAGAAAGAGUGGUGGCAACUGCUGAAGUAUUAGUGGUGGCAGCUAUAUUGAAUAUAUUCAACCAAGCAGACGUCUACAACUUGACACAAUGAAGAUACUACACUGGGAAGAAACUACUCAAGCUAAAGCUGCUGCACAGAUAAGUUAGAACACGUUGAAGUUGAUAUACUAAGCAUGGCAGGCAGUUAUAUUCAAUUAUAUUCUGAUACAAAGUUUGUUAUUUACUGAUUAUGUUAUUACACUAAAGCAAUGCUAUAAAUACUGUAUCAAUUAAUUCAAUGAAUAAGAAGAAUUCAGUUUACAUUUUAAUAUUCAAUAUGGUAUCAGAGCUUAUUCUCUGAUUUUUUUUUCCCGCAAUUUCAAGUUUCUUCAUCUUCUUCUUUUUUCUUUUCUGCAUUCUUUCUCCUUAUUUUUCUAGCAAUGGUUGGAACUACCUGAGAAAUGGAUCCUUCCAAUCCUUUCUUUCUGUAUCAUGGUGACAGUCCUGGAGCCAUGAUCGUUUCAAAGCAACUCAAUGGUGAAAAUUACAACUCAUGAAAGAUGGCAAUGAUGAUGGCUUUAUCAGCCAAGAACAAACUCAAUUUUGUCAAUGGUACUUUGCCUAAACCAUCCAAUAUGUCUGACACUCAAGGAUUGGCAUGGACUCGCUGCAACAACAUGGUUCUCUUGUGGUUGUUGAAUUCUGUUUCAACAGAGAUUGCCAACAACAUCAUCUACAUUGAUGAUGCAUCUGACAUAUGGAAUGAUCUUCAGGAAAGGUUCUCUCAACAUAAUGGACCAUGCAUUUUCCAGCUUCAGAAAUCAAUCUCAUAUCUGUCACAGGACAAUAAUUCUGUAAGUACAUAUUUUACUGCUAUGAAAGGAUUAUGGGAUGAGUUAGGAAAUCAUCAACCAAUUCCCACAUGCACAUGUGGAGCAUUGAAGACUAUUCUAUCUUAUCAUCAUCAGCAGCAUGUUUAUCAAUUCCUCAUGGGAUUGAACGAGAAUUUUUCACAUAUUCGAGGACAAAUUUUGCUGAUUGAUCCACUGCCAUCCAUCAACAAAGUUUUCUCACUUAUUGUUCAAGAGGAGAGGCAACGUAUGAUUUCCUUUUCUAGCACUUCUUUCAAUCCAAACACCACUGCCUUACUUACUAAGACAAUACCUCCAACUCGUUUUACUGGAAACCGAUCUUUUUAUCCCCGCAAAGAUCGAUCUAUAUGCUCUCAUUGUAAUGUUCCUGGUCAUACUGUCGAAAAGUGCUACAGACUUCAUGGAUUUCCACCUGGCUAAAUUUACCAAAGGAAAGAAUGCACCUCACAGUGUAAAUCAGGUUUCUGAAACCACUGCCCCUCAGCUGCCUAUUACCUAUGCACAAUGUCAGCAACUUAUGGAGAUGUUCAAACCAUCUAUCUCAGAACUUGAAUCUUCUGUCAAUCAAGUUUCCUCAUCUGCCAAUCAAGAAUCAGAAAUUCUUACUCAAGGUGAUACUUCACUCACUAUGAACCGUGCAGGUAUUAUUUCCAAUAUAUCUCAACUCUCUACUCUAGAUCCAAAACAUUCUGUUUUUGCAUCUGCCUUGUCGAUCACUCAUUCAACUCUUCUAAAAAAUUCUAUCAAAGCACCUUGGAUAAUUGAUACUGGAGCUACAGAUCAUAUGAUAUGUUCCACAUCAUUUUUCACACGGAUCAUUUCUGCUGUUUCUAAAAUAGUAAGAUUGCCUAAUGGAGAACAUGCUUCAGUUACUCACAUCGGUACCAUUAAGAUUUCAGACUCUUUUAUCUUAAAAGAUGUGCUUUGUAUUCCUUCUUUUUCUUUCAAUUUGAUAUCUGUCAGCAAGCUGAUUCAAACCUUUCAAUGCUGUGUCAUUUUCUUACCUAAAUUCUAUUUUAUUCAGAACAUUACAAGCUGGAGAACGAUUGGUGUGGGUAAAGAAGCUGGAGGUUUAUAUCAUUUGCUGCAAAUUCCAGUUUCUGCUUUAUCUAGAACUUCUCUGUUUUCCAAUCCUGUUCCAUCCAUAUCUCAGCCUACAAUCACUGAUCUAGCUCCUGCUAGUUUCUUUGUUCAUUCUGUAAACAAUAGUCUAUGGCAUUACAGGUUAGGCCACCCUUCAGAUUCUCCCUUGAAAUUACUUUCUCAUGUAAUCCCUCAAGUGUUACAUGAAUCUAAUAAAACUUGUAGCAUUUGCCCAUUGGCUAAACAACACCGCUUAUCCUUUCCUCACAGCCUUACAAAUUCUGCACAACCGUUUGAUCUUAUUCACUGUGAUCUUUGGGGUCCCUUUUCCACUAAGUCUAUUAGUGGUUCUUCAUAUUUUCUAACCAUUGUAGAUGAUCAUAGCAGAUUCACAUGGAUUCAUCUUUUGGACAAUAAGUCUCAAACCAGCACUCAUAUUCAAUCCUUUUUUACUAUGGUUGAGACACAAUUCAAUGCCAAAAUCAAGUCCCUCCGAUCAGAUAAUGGUGUUGAAUUCCACAUGAGUCAAUUAUAUGCAUCAAAAGGUGUCAUCCAUCAACUGAGUUGUGUUGAAACACCUCAACAAAACUCCAUUGUUGAACACAAACACCAACACAUUUUGAAUAUUGCCCGAUCCCUUCGUUUCCAAUCUCAUUUACCCUUACCAUUUUGGGGAGAUUGUGUGCUCACUGCAGUCCAUUUACUCAACAGAAUUCCCACUCCUGUCUUACACAACAAAUCCCCUUAUGAAACUUUAUUUCAUUCUUGUCCAUCCUAUUCUCAUUUGAAAGUGUUUGGUUGCCUCUGCUAUGCCACUACUUUACUUAAGCAUAGACAUAAAUUUGAUCCUAGAGCUAAACCUUGUAUAUUUCUUGGCUAUCCUUCUCACAUCAAGGGAUACAAACUCUAUGAUUUACAUCAACAUACUGUUUUUGUCUCCCGCAAUGUCAUUUUCCAUGAAGCUAUCUUUCCUUUUGCCCUCAAACAUCCUAUUGAUUCUGUUCUUCCCUUACCCCCCCUGCAUGAAUCAGUAGCUCCUUUUAUUGAUCCCAUGACUUCCACUUCUUCUCCUUUUCAAACUGUUACUCCCUCACCCUCCACUUCUGACGUACUUUCCCCUCCUCUGCAUUCUGACUUACCAUCACUUCUAGCAUCCCCUUCUGAGAUCAUUUCUCAGCCAUGCAGGAGGUCUUCUAGGAUAAAACACAAACCUGGAUAUUUGCAUGACUAUCAUUGUCAUAUUACCACCUCAUCUUCAGCACCUGCACCUUCUUCUUCAGCUUCAGGUAUUCCUUAUACUCUUUCAUUCAUCCUUUCAUAUUCUCAUCUCUCUCCUGCUCAGAAAUGUUUUAGCCUUUCUGUCUCUGCUCUUAUUGAGCCUACUUCCUAUACUCAAGCUAUACGUUGUAAGGAAUGGUGUGAGGCUAUGGAUACUGAAAUCAAAGCUCUUGAAUUGAAUAACACCUGGACUGUUGUUGAUCUUCCUGCCUCUAAACACACUAUUGGAUGCAAAUGGGUUUAUAAAGUCAAGUUGAAGUCUGAUGGCACUUUGGAGAGGUAUAAAGCUAGGCUUGUUGCAAAGGCGUAUAAUUAGUGUGAGGGAUUGGACUAUUAUGAUACUUUUUCUCCUAUGGCUAAGCUCACCACUAUCAGAACUCUUUUAGCAGUUGCUGCUGUGAAACAGUGGCAUCUCCAUCAAUUGGACGUGAAUAAUGCCUUUCUUUAUGGUGAUUUAGAUGAAGAAGUCUACAUGACAUUACCACCUGGUUUUUCUAAAGAGGGGGAGUCCAAGGUUUGCAGAUUACAUAAAUCAAUCUAUGGUUUAAAGCAAUCUUCGCGGCAAUGGUUUGCAAAAUUUUCUUUUACCUUACUUGAAUUUGGUUUCGUGCAGUCCAAGGUUGAUUACACUUUGUUCACUCGAUAUUUGAUAGAUUCAUUCAUUGAUAUCUUAGUCUAUGUUGAUGAUAUAGUUGUUGCCAGUGAUAAUUCAGCUGCUGUUUCCAUAUUCAUUCACAUGCUUAACAACAGAUUUCAGCUUAAAGAUCUUGGCCAGUUGAAGUAUUUUCUUGGUUUGGAAAUAGCUCGCAGUGAGCUUGGGAUUUAUGUUUGUCAGUAAAAGUAUGCCUUGGACAUACUUGAGACUACUGGUUUGUUGGCUUCCAAACCGGCCAAAGUUCCUAUGGAUCCUAAUGUGAAAUUCUCUAAAGAUUCUGGCUAACUCUUAGCCGAUCCUACUUCCUACAGACGCCUUGUUGGAAGAUUACUCUAUCUCACUCUCAGUAGACCUUAUAUUUCUUUUGUUGUUCAGGUUUUAAGUCAGUUUAUGGACAAGCCACGGGCUCCUCAUCUAGAUGCAACCACUCAAGUUCUACGAUAUAUUAAAACCUCUCCAGCUCAGGGCAUUUUAUUUCCAGUCAUUUCUAGCCUACAAUUGAAAGCAUUUUGUGAUUCAGACUGGGCUGGUUGCUUGGAUUCUCGCCGCUCAGUCACAGGCUAUUGUGUCUUUUUGGAUAAUUCUUUGAUUUCGUGGAAAUCUAAGAAACAAACCACAAUCUCUCGUUCUUCUGCUGAAGCUGAGUACAGAGCCAUGGCUUCCACCUGCUGUGAAAUUGUGUGGCUUCGAAACCUUCUCACUGACCUGCACAUUCCACUAAAACCUGCUCUCCUCUAUUGUGAUAGUAAAGCUGCUCUUCACAUUGCUGCCAAUCUUGUUUUCCAUGAGAGUACCAAACACAUUGACAUUGAUUGUCAUGUGGUUCGUGAGAAAAUUCAAUCCGGUGUUCUUCGCACUUUUCACGUUUCUUCUCAAUACCAGUUGGCUGACAUUUUUACAAAAGCUCUCGAUUCCUCUCAUUUUCAUCCCUUAUUAUCCAAGAUGAGUGUUCAUAACAUUUAUUCUCCCUGACAUGUUCAUGACUCUCAUCUUGAGGGGGGUGUAUUGAAUAUAUUCAGCCAAGCAAACAUCUACAGCUUGAUACAAUGAAGAUACUACACUGGGAAGAAACUACUCAAGCUAAAGCUGCUGCACUGAUAAGUUAGAACACGUUGAAGCUGAUAUACUAAGCAUGGUAGGCAGUUAUAUUCAGUUAUAUUCUGUAACAAAGUUUGUUAUUUAUAACUGAUUCUGUUGUUACACUAAAGCAAUGCUAUAAAUACUGUAUCAAUUAAUUCAAUGAACAAGAAGAAUUCAGUUUACAUUUUAAUAUUCAAUAAGCUACCGUAUCAAUCGGCGUUCACAGGCCAUGGUAUAUAACUCUGACCGAUAACAUGUGAUGUAUUCGUGCUGUGUAAAAGAGGUGAAUAAAUAAUUCAUGCACGCCUGUACAGGGAAUUCUGUGUAAGUAAAGCUUGUGAUUAAUUGCAGUUGUAGAUGGGAUAACGUGGGGGUGUGAUGUGAGAAUUCUUCUCGUGUAAUGGAACAAGAAGAUGCUGUAAAUAUUAUUAUUUAAGAUAACAUCAAAGCUUCUGCUUGUUUAGUUUUUUUUUUUUAAAUAAAGUUUCAUAUAAAUCCUUAAGAGAAUUUAUUUGGUAUGAAUGCAUUGAAGAACUAGUCAAUAUAUAAGAAACAAGAUUUAUAAUUUUUUUUGUUAGGUUAUACUGAAUUUGUAAAUAAUGUAAAGCUAAUGUUACUAUUUUUGGGACUAAAAGUUGGUAGAGCUCUUAAUAAAACUCUUGAAUGAAGGAAUCUCUUGGAAAAUAUAAUUUAGGAUUAUUAUAUAAUGAUAGUAAUUACAGUAGGAAAAACACUGUGAUUUUUAAUAAUUAUUAAUUUUAAGAGAUCUGAUAGUAAACGGCCAUAAAUACACGGAUACAUCUCAUCUAUUAAUUAUUUUAUAUCUUUAGUUUUUAUUUUAGUGCAAUUAACAUUAACAUGGCUUAAUAAUCAAAUAAACUAAAUUAUAACUUCCGGACCUUUAUACAAAAUUACUUUGAUUAAAAAAUAUAAAAAAUCAAUUUAAUAAAUUUCAAGUUAUUUUUCAAAACAGUCCUCUAGUUUAGACAAUGCAAAUAAUUGAUCUAAUGCGUUAUAAAUGCCUUCAGACUGCGGGUGUGAUUCAUCACCAGCCAAAAACUCGUGAAACUGGCCCUCAACUUCUACAAUGCUACGCCCAGGGAUCUUCUUCACCCUCCUCUCCCUCAUCAUUCUUCUUGCCAUUUUGACAUCACCCCAUCUUCUCCCAUUGGCCCAAAUAUUAGCUAGCAGAACAUAGAUACCGCUGUCUUCAGGGUCCAGCUCCAAGAGUCUAGGAGCAGCAAUCUUAGCUACUUCAACAUUCCCAUGCAUCCUACAAGCAUGGACUAGGGCACCCCAUGCAGCUGCACUUGGCUCCAUUGGCAUCUUGGUUAUUAGCUCGUAUGCAUCUUCUAGGAGUCCAACUCGACCGAGUAAAUCGAUCAUACAAGCAUAGUGUUCAUUCUUGGGUUCUAUACCAUACUUUCGUUUCAUGUUUUGAAAAUACUCUUGACCUUCGGCAACUAAGCCACCAUGACUGCAAGCUGACAGGACACCCACCAAUGUAAUAUCAUCUGGCUUAAACCCUCCACUUAUCAUUUGCUCAAAAACAGUCAGAGCUUGCUUAGCGUGCCCAUGAGACGCAUAAGCAGUAAUCAUGGAAUUCCAGGAGACCACGUUUCUCUCUGGCAUGUCAUUAAAAACUUUUGCAGCUUCAUGUAGGACUCCGCAUUUAGCAUACAUGUCUAUGAGCGCAUUUGCUAAGAUCACACUAAUUUCGUUGUAUCUCAUUCUGACGUAGUUUCGAUGGAUCCACUGACCAACAUCAAGGCAACCCAAUUGACCACAAACAGGGAGCACACAAGCUAAUGUAUUCUCCAUUGGAACAAAUGCAGCCUCCAACAUGUUGUGAAACAAUUCUAAAGCUUCCUUAGGUUGGUUGUUUUGAGAAUACCCGGCAAUCAUGGCAUUCCAAGAAACCGCAUUCCUCUCAGGCAUCUCAUUAAACAAUGUUCUCGCCAUCUCUAGCUCACCGUGUUUAGCAUACCCGUUAACCAUACUUGUCCAUGAGAACACAUCUCUAAACCCCAUGGUAUCAAAAAUCUCUCUAGCAGAAUCCAAGCAGCCACAUUUCACAUACAUAUCCAAGAUUGCAUUCAUCAGAUUUAAGCUACGAGUCACAUUCCUUGUUUUUACAUACUCGUGAAAAGUCUUCCCCAAUAUCAAAUCCCCCUUCUGGGAGCAAGAUGAAAGAACUGCAAUCAUAGUAACCUCAUUUGGCUCGACACCACCAUACAUUAACAUGGAGUCAAAAAGUUUCAAGGCCUCAUCAAACCAUUUAUGCUUAGAAUACCCAUCAAUCAUAGAAGUCCAAGACACAACAUCUCUUUCAGAGAUUUCAUCAAACACUUGACGAGCUAAACCCAAACAAUCACGCAAACCAUAAAAAUGAACCAACCCGUUCUGAACCAACAAAGUAUAAACAAAACCCAUCUUCCAAACAACACAAUGAACUGAUUUUCCUUCUAAAACUCCCAAAGACUGCUCGCACGCCUUGAGCGCGAAAACAAAACUCCUACAGUCCAUUUCAACACCUUUCUGAACCAUUUGGCAGAAAAACAAGAAGCCAGUUUGGCCCAUUUUGGCUUUAGAGUAGCCUCUAAUCAUGGUAUUCCAAAUAUAAGUAUUGGGGUUUUGUAACUGGGAAAACAGAAGAUGGGCAUGGUUUAUAUCUCCAGAGUUAGAGAGAGCGCAAAAGGCUAAGACACGACUAACUGGGAAAGUGUGGGUAAUGAGAGCGGUUUUUGUCAUGUGAGCUUGGAUUUGCUUCAAUUGAAGCAUUGAAGUGCAUGAUUCCAUAGCUAAGAGAAUUGGGUGAGUGAUUAUUGUGUUGGUUGGUGAGUUCCAUUUGGUUGGUUUUGUUGUCGUAGUCGAUGAGAGUUGCUUUAGAGACUGAAAUGUGAGAGAAGAGAUUAAAGUGGCGGUGGCGGUGGCUACGCUUCUUGAAGAAGACAAUAAUUGGUUCAUAUGAAUGGACUUUCUGUUCUUUGCCUGAAAUGUGAACUUUUAAAGUUUGAAGGCUGAUUUUGAUUCUAAUAUUUAAUUACAGUAGAGAAAACUUAUUUGCUUUUUAACCUUUUUGUUAUAUUUUAUUUUAUAAUAAUAAUAAUAAUAAUAAUUAUUAUUAUUAUUAUCUACUUGAGUCACUGAUUUUUUUCAUAUUUAAAUUACUAUUUUUAAUUAAUAAUAAGUGGCUUACAAUUUUUUAGAAACAAUGGAAAAAACUGUAUAUCUAAUUAGUGUCUAAAUUUUUAAUAUUUUUUAUUUGAAUGUCUAAAUUUUUAUUAUUCUAUUAUUUGAAUAUCUUAAAAUUAGUAUUUUCUAUUUGAACAAUUUUUAUUUUUUAUUUUGUUGGAUAUUUACAUGUAUUACAUGUAUGCUCUCUCGUACCUAGGUUCUAAUAAGAAUUUGUAAGAAAACAAGAAUUAAAAUUUUAAAAAAAAAAUCGGCAGAGAAAAAGAAAAGUUAAUAAUUAUUGGUCUAAGCUUACCUAAUCUUUUGUUAUAUAUCACAAUUCACAUCAUGGUUUAAGCUUCUUCAAUUAUAGCUUUCAACUUCUCUUUUAAAAUAGUAUGAUUAACAUUUUAUGAGUUUGAAAUUACAAGAAAUUCUACUUUUGAGUGUCUAUUUUGAGUGGAUAUUUUGUAUUUUAAAAAUACUUUCAUGUUAAAAAAAAUAUAAGACUGAUAUUUUUAGUAUUUUAUUUUUGAUAGUUUUAAAAUGUAUGACAUCUUAAAGUGGAUUCCACUACCAUCAUGGACCAAGAAACUAAACUACUAGUAGUAUUAUAAUUAUUAGAUUCGACCUGCUUCGAGAGGUUGACAUGAGACUCAAGCAACCUGGGACCUUGAUUAGGUUUGAUGAAGAAGAAAAUUGGGGUUGCAUUGGCUUGUGGGGACCCAACCUGUAUGACUUGUUGCAAUCUAAUAGAGAUCUAAUUUUUUUAUUUUUUAAAUAAACAAAAAAAUAAAUUUUUAAAGAAGUGAAACAAAUUCUCCUGGGUGAUUGUUGUAAAAAACAAAGUAAAUUUACAAACAGCAAGACUAACAUAUUUAUCUACUAUAAGAAUUGAUGUGCAAACACUUUUCAUGGGUGGGUGCUUUUUUCGCCGACCAAGCCAAAAAAAAUAUUGUGCAAACACCUAGCCCCACAUUUCGUUUAUAGGUGGGUGUUCCUCAAAACAAAGCAUCUAAAAUAGCACAAACAUACCACUUUUUAUUUAUUGGUUACUAGUUAUUAUUAAAAAAAUAUUGUGCAAACACCUAGCCCCACAUUUCGUUUAUAGGUGGGUGUUCCUCAAAACAAAGCAUCUAAAAUAGCACAAACAUACCACUUUUUAUUUAUUGGUUACUAGUUAUUAUUAAAAUUUAUUAUAUUAAUACUAGAAAAUUUUUUUAUUUUUUCAAUAUAAAAUUGAAAACUUAUUAAUAUAUAUAUUUUAUGUUCAUAAAGAAAAUUUUUUGUUAAAAAAUUUAUGUUAUAGGAUAAUAAAUUAUUUUUAAUUUAAAUACUUCAACUUAUAAAAAAAAAAUAGUACAAAUAAAAAACUUUUUGAAAUUAUUUUUUAAACUUUAUUAUAUAUAUAUAGCAUAUGUUCACAUUAAUUAUUUUUAAUUUUUUCAUAUGAAAUAUUUAAACAUCAAAUAAUUUUUUUAAAAUUUUUUUAGGGUCAAUCCCCGGCUAGAUUUAGUAACUAUGGUUGUUACUUGAAGGAUUUUUAUUUGCAUUCUUAUUCAAGAAGGUCUUUGUUCCUCGACAUAGAAGUAGUUUUGCACUCAUUCUUUCUACCACAAGUUUCUUUGCUUUAUGCUUCUAGUUGGGGCCAAUUUUGAUGUUCAAGUGAAUCCAUUUUUGGACUUAAUCAGGACAAAAAGGAGAGAAGUUUCUCUUCUAUGUUACAUAUUUGAUUCAGUGCUUUUUAUUAACUCAUGCUUACUAUUCUCAUUUAUUUGUUUGAAUUUAAAAGCACUGAAAAUAAUAAAGAAGAUAUAUACCUAGUUGUAAUUUUGUUUUUCAAUUUCAUUACAAAUAAUAAUAAAUUCUCAGUUUCGGUCAAAUGAAUGAAUAAUUCUAGUGUUGUUGGUGAGCAAUUUCUGAGACAUUUCAAUUUUUGGGGUUAUAACCUAUAUACAAAUUAGUUUUUUUUUUUGGCAAAUAAUAUAAGAUAAAUACACACAACAAUCAUGAAUAUAAGAGAAAUCAAUCACAAGAACACAACUAAGAAAUAUCAAAUUUACGUGAAAAUAACUUCAUCAUAUAAAAAAAAUAUAAGGAGAAACUUUGAAAUAAUCUACUAUAAUAAAGAAAGCAAUGCAAUCACUAAAGUUAUGAGAUCAAUGAAGUCUCCAUGUUCUUGUAAAGCUCAAUGCCAUUAUUAGAUCACCAUCUUGAACAUUAUAGUUAUCUAUGAUUGUUAUAUUAAUUCUAGAAAAAAAAACCCCUAAUAUUUACUGCCACAAAUUCCAUUGCUUCUUUAUUAUAACAAUCGAAAAAAUCCCCUUUUCUUUUCUCUUUUAUUACUCUCUGUGUGUAAAUCCCCGGUCUGAAUUUUUCAAUAUAAAAAAAAAGGGCUGAGAUGGAAUGUCCGGCUUGGAAACCCCCGGUUAAAGGAUUUCAUGGUAUUAAUGAAAUAUUAAGAAUUUAACCCAGUAGUGCAAGGGUUAAUUUUUAAAAUUAUAAAUUAAACUAAAUGAAGAGGGGGUGAAAUUGAAUAAGAGGAAGGAUAAAUAACACUAAUUUAAUAGAAAGAGAGAAUCUUGUGGGGAAAAAUGAAAACAUAAAGGCAAAUAGAGUAAAAUUGCAAAUACCAAAAAGUUGGAAAAUAAAAUUAAAGAGGGCUAGUUUUAGUGAUCAAAAGGAAUUAAAAGAAGAUUUGAGUUAGAGAAAGUGAAGGUUUUCUAGGAUUUAUUGAGUAUUGAGGGAUGGUUUUGGGAGGAGAAGAGAAAAAGUGAGGAAAAAACUAGGUUCUUGGUGGAUUUCUUCUCUUUUAUUGGUGAUUAAGAGGUAAGAAGUAUACUAUAAAUUAUUUGAUUUAGUUUUGUUGUGUAUUUAUGCACUUUAAUGAAAUGCUAACUAUUAUGGAAAGUUAGGGUUCAUGAAGAAUUGUUUGAAAUUGUUUGUUUAACACUUGAUACAUGUUAAAUGGGUAUCAAAAGGAAUGAGUAAAGAGUUAAUUUAGGGAAAAAAAUUAAAUAGGGGCAUGCUCUGCCAUGGUAGGGAUUUCGGCCAAGCUUCAAGGUUGGGUAUAGGGAGAUUUGAUUCAUUUGGUUUAAUUAACUUGAUAAUUGAUUUAACAAAUCAAGACUUGCUAAAUGAGGGAUGCAUUUAAUAUGGUUUAAUUAUUAGAAUAUCGAGUUAAAUUAUGCUUGAAUAAAGGUAUAAUAAAUGAAUUAUGAUGAUUUGGUUGUGUGAGAGUUAAAAGAAUCCUUGAUUUUCAUGCGUAUAAUUUGGCUAAAUUGGACAAUAAAGAAGAGUAAUAAAUUGAUAUGAAUCACCUAUGUAAAUAUCAUGAAAAUGUGUUUUCAAACUAAAUUGUGCUGUGAUGAUGAUAAAUUGUAUGAAGAAAAAGAAAAGAUUUUUUUUUUCCUUGAAAUCAUGAUAUGUUUAGGUGUUGAGAAUUAUCGUGGAGGAACCUAGAUAUGGUUCUCAAGUUUAAAAAUAAAAUAAAAUUUAAUGGAAAUAAGUUAAAUAAUGUGAUGGCAAGGGAUGCAGGGAUGCCACGAAUAAUAUGUAGUUGUCCUACACCUUAAUAUUUUAAUUAAAUCAUUUAAAAUAUUUUAUCUGCAAUUUUUUUUAUGUAUAAAUUAUGGGUAGUUUAUAAAAAAGAAAAAAAAAGGUGAAAAAAAAAAGAAAAUGAAUUUGAUUCCUCAUUCCAAGUUAUGGAGGCUAAUGAUGUCAAUAAUUAUAUUGGCAUUGACAUUAACAAAGUACACAUUCAACAAUAUUAAAGAACUUGAAUAACUACUUUGGAUUUGGAAGGCUAAUGAUACAAAUGGGUUACAUUUAUAUUGAUAUUUUUUAAAUUUAGCUUGUCAUUUAAUUAAAUUAUUUAAAAUAUUUUAUCUAUAAUUUUCUUUAAUGUACAAGUUAUGGGUAGUGUAUAAAAAAGAAAAAAAAAGUGAAAAAAAAAAGUGAAUUUGACUCAUCAUUCCAAAUCAUAAAGGCUAAUGAUGUCAAUAAAUAUAUUGGCAUCGACAUUAACAAAGUGCACAAUCAAUAAUAUUAAGGAACUCAAUUAGCUACUCCAGAUUUGGAAGGCUAAUGAUGCCAAUAGGUUAUAUUUAUAUUGACAUUUAUUAAAUUUGGCUAGUCAUUUAAUUAAAUCAUUUAAAAUAUUUUAUCUAAAAAUUUCUUUAAUGUAUAAGUUAUGGGUAGUGUAUAAAAAGGAAAAAAAAAGAGAAAAAAAAGAAGUCAAUUUGAUUCACCAUUCCAAGUCAUGGAGUCUAAUGAUGUCAAUAAAAAUAUUGGCAUCGACAUUAACAAGGGGCACAAUCAACAAUAUUAAGGAUCUUGAUUAGCUACUCCGGAUUUGGAAGACUAAUGAUACCUAUAGGUUAUAUUUAUAUUGACAUUUAUUAAAUUUGGCUAGUCAUUUAAUUAAAUUAUUUAAAAUAUUUGAUCUGCAAAUUUCUUUAAUGUACAAGUUAUGGGUAGUGUAUAAAAAGGUGAAAGAAAAAAAAAGUGAAUUUGAUUCACCAUUCUAAGUCAUGGAGGCUAAUGAUGUCAAGAAGUAUAUUGGAAUCGACAUUAACAAAGGGCACAAUCAACAAUAUUAAAGAUCUUGAUUAGCUACUCCGAGUUUGGAAGGCUAAUGAUACCAAUGGGCUAUAUUUGUAUUGACAUUUCUUAAAUUUGGCUAGACAUUCCCGGUUUGGGAGAUUAAUGAUACAAAUAAGUUAAAUUGAUAUUGAUAUUUUUUUCAUUCCUGGUUUGGGAGAUUAAUGAUACCAAUGAGUUAUAUUAGUAUUGACAUUGGUUAAAAUUUUGUUAGUCGUUCACAGUUUGGGAAAUAAAUGAUACCAAUAGAUUACAUUGGUGUAACAUCUCCAACUUUCAAUUACAAAUUAUCAGUUACACUCCACCAUGAUUAGAUUUAAAACCAAGGAAUUUUUUUUGUUCUUAUAUCAUUCAUUAUUUCAUUAGGUCAAAUCUUAACAUGACAUUUUUAAUUCCACUAAAAAUCAGUAGAGUUUCUCCUAGAUUUUAGCACUUUCAAAUGUCAACAUCAUUUAUCAUUCACAAUUAUCACAAGUUAAACAUAUAAUCGAAUCAUCGAAUCAUCUAGUAAUCAUUAUCAUAUUCAAUCUAGUCAUCAUAAAUUUUUUUUUCCUCUAUAAUAAAUAUAUAAUCAAGAUAUAAGAGAGUAGUAAAAGGAAACUCACAUAUUCCUAUAUAAAAAUAAAAAGUGCUAUUAUGCAAUAAUAUUACUACAUGGUUAUAAGAAUAAAAUAUUUCAUGCUAUUAACAUUCAGAUUCAGAUGCACAUAAAAAGACAUUUUCAAAAUUAUAAUACAUGAGAAGUUGUAAGAAUUUCUACAACAACCUUAAUAGUUACUAAUCAAAACACAAAAGUAGUCUACUGCUCGGGAUGAAUGUGAAAAGAUUCUGAAAUCAAAAUUUGAUUAUUUAAUAAGAAACAUUGUUUAAUGACCAGUAUAACAAAACAAGGUUAUAUUUAUUUAUUUUAUUUUUAUUUCUUUUGUUAUAGCAACAUAACAUAAAAGUGAAUUCUUUAUCCAGUGAAUACCUUAAAAGUAUCUAAUUUAUAUAGUAUCUUUAUUUUUCAUUAUUAUUAUUUAAACCUCUAAAUAACAUAUCAUCUUGGUCAUUAGAUACCCUGAUGCCUCUAGCAUCGCUUGUGCACUAGUUGAUCUUAAUUCUGGUCAUCAAGUGCACCGACGCCUUUAGUACCACUCAAGGUACUAGUCAAAUUUAAUCUUUGUUGUCAAAUUCAUUGACACCUUGAGUACCACUUAGGGUACUAGUCAAGUUCAGUUUCAAUCAUUAGAUUCACUAAUGUCUUUAGUAUCACUCAAGGUAUUAGUCAACUUCAAUCCAAUUUACUUUUUUUUCUGUUUUUUUUUUUAUUUCCAACAUCAUCCUCAACUUAGAUCUACAAAAACACUUUAAGAAUUCAUCAUAAACUAAUAUUCAAAACUAUAGUAUAAAAAUAUGGAAAAGAGGAUAACACCUACCUAAUGCAUGUUCUUGUACUAUCGCUCCUAAUUGUUUCUCUGACCCAACAACUUCCCCUAUAUCAUUAUGGUUAUGAUUAUUAUUAGAUUUCAACCAUCAACCACAUUUCAAUUCUAUUCUCAUUCAAAUAUUAACAAGAAAAACUUUCAAAAUCACACACACACGCGCGCGCGCGCGCACACACACACAUAUAUAUUUCCCUUAUAUUCAUACUCAUUUUCUUAGUUUUCAUGUUAAAAUUAUCCAUUAACAAUAAUUCAAAGCAACAUUAGAAAUUUAUAAAAUCUUUGUUGGUUUAGUCUACUCAACCCCAAACACUUUUGAUAUUUUAAUUAUAUCUAGAGUUGUAAAGCUUUGUUUUGGGCAUGGUUAGUAUUUUCAGGAAGCUAAGAUGUAAGGCUACAACUUUCAUAAAGGAAGCAAUACCUAGUUCUGCCAUUUACCUUCUGAAAUGUAUACUUAACAGUAGCAUACCCAUUUAGCCCAAUAAAAAUCCAAUUUGAGAUUCCUUUCAUUAUUUGUCCAUAAUGGGAGUUUUUAACUCAAAAUAAAGUAAGGUCAAUUUUAUUUGAAAUUUAACACCUCAAGCUACAACUUUCAUGAAGAAAUAUAUUUCAAACUCCCUUAUUUGCGUGUCCUAACUCUUAUUAUAACUUAGGUGACAAAACUGUCAAAAUUUUAGCUUACAAGUCUAAAACACAACCAAAACAUUUUCAUGAAUUCUUUCAUCAUUUAUGAUGGCCACUUCUAUCCUACAAAUCUCUUAACAUUAUUGAUACACAAGUUUCCUAUAAUCAACUUACUCAUAUCCAUCCUUUAAUCAAAAUGACUUAUUAUAGAAGAAAAAUGUAAUUCCUUUAAUUUUCUCACACACUCAAUUCACUUUAUUUAACACUUUAUGGCCUAGAAAAGUGACUCUUAAAUUCUCAUUUUUUAAGGACUUACUUAUAAUUCAAUUUCCUAAUACAACACACAUCACCUAUAAAUACAAUUCCCCUAAUAAUUUCAUCAAACAAACUUAUUCCUCAAAUUCUUUCCCCUUGGCCGAACCUUGGCAAGUGAUGGGAAUAGGUUUUCUCUUUUUUAUUUUCUUCUAAAUUAGAUCAUCACCCAUUCAAGAUUCAUGUAUAUAAGCAUUAUUCAAACACUACAUUAAACAUUUAAUUAACCAUUCAUUUAAACCCACUUUCCAUAAUGCAUUUUCUAAUCAAAAUAUAUCAUUACAUAACAUAAAUAUAAUUAAAUCUUAGAUUAAAGCUUAUCACCUCUUAAACACAAGAAUUUGAAAGAAAGAAAGUAUUGAAAACAAGUUUUCCUUCCCUCCUAGUUUUUCCUCCCAAACCUACUACUUUUUAUGUCAAAUUCCUCUAGGAUUUCUUCAUUUUUUUCUAGCAUAAUCUCCUCAUAAUCCCUUCUUACCCCUUUAAUUUUAGUAUAAAUGUAUGAAUUUAGGUAGAAUAUUGAAGAAAACUUGAGAAAAAAAAUCUUUUCCUCUCUUCUUCUCUAAGCAACUGGCUACUCUUGGCUUCUUUAUGCUUAUAUACUCACUUUUUUUUUUAUAUAACCUUUAUAGACAAUAAUGCUUAUCCCUUUAAUAAUAAAGUAUUUUUUGUUUAACCGGGUAUUCUGUCUCAUCGACCUAACUAAUUUGAAUAAAAUAUAGUGUUUUUUUUUUCAUUUUAUUAUUAACAUAAAAAAUCCCUCAUUUUAAUUUAACCCAUUUUAUUUCCGAAUCAAAAUUUUAAUACUUACGAACUCAUAAAAUUCUAUCUGAGGGUUUACAAUUGGCAUUGACAAUUCUUAGAUUUGAUUAGUAGUUUUCAGUUUGGAAGACUAAUGAUACCAAUGAGGUUCAUUGGUGUUGACAUUAAUAUAAAAUGUAUAAGUAGAAAAUAUGUUUUAUUUUCGAAUCAAAAUUUUAAUACUUAUGAACUCAUAAAAUUCUAUAUGAGGGUUUACAAUUGGUAUUGACAAUUCUUAGAUUUGAUUAGUAGUUUCCAGUUUGGAAGACUAAUGAUACUAAUGAGGUUCAUUGGUGUCGACAUUAAUAUGAAAUGUAUAAGUGGAAAAUAUGUUUAAGUAGUUGUUCUUAGGAUAAGGAAAGAUGAAUGAUGUAAAUGAGUUCAUUAACAUCGAUAUGAAAAAUUAGAAUGAAAGAUAAAAAGAAUGAUAAGUAAAAUGGUGUCGUGACAUGCACAAUGUUAGAUGUUAGAUGACGGGUAUAGAUCUUUGAUCGAGGGAGUUUUGGAUGUGUUGAGAUUAAUCAUAAAAAUAUGAUUAAUAGAGUUUAGGAGUCGCCACCUAGUAUUUGGUCACUAGAAAAUCUAAUGAUCUAUAGAGUCUAGAUAAAUGGACUAGUUAUGUAUUAGAAAUAUGUAUUACCCCCAAUGCACCUUAUAUAUGGUGAGCUGCAUUGUUGAUUGAUUAUUCUAAGUCAAGUUUUUAUUUGUUGGUCUAUUUAAGGUUUAACAAAAGUCAUUCUCGGUAAAAAUUCUUUAUAUUAUCAAGUUAAAACCUAAACAUUCUAAAGCCUAAAAGAAUUAUGUAAAAUGAAUAUUCCAAAAAUUAAAAAAAUUGAUUGAUUUUUAUGAUAUUUUUGAACUUUUAGCCAAAUUAUAAUGGUAAAUCACAAACUUGUUAUGACUUCUUUUUUUGUGUUUUUUAAAGGAUGAUGAAAAUGCAAUUUUUUUUAAAUGAAAUAUGCAUGAAAGUUUUUAGAAUUUGGCCAUAUACACACAAAUAAAAAUAUAUUUUUUAUUUUUUUCAAAUAAGAAUUUUUUUUAAUUUAAAAAAAGAGAAUAGUUUAAAUACCGGAUUAAUAUUUUAUAGUGUAAGUCUACAACUCAAGUACUAAAUGAAAUUGGUAGAAAAACUCGCAAGGAACCAACAAUAAUUUUAAAAUAAUCUUGAAAUUCUUUAGAAUUUUGGAAAUCACAUAGGGUUUGUUCGGUUAAAAAAAAACUCAGAAAAGAAAACUUAAACAAAGUAUAUGCACAACUCCAAUGAGAUCAGAUCACACAAAAGAAAAUUCAUGACUAAGAAAAUCAAUCAAUCCAAACACGUCCGCUCCUCAACACAAACAAAUCAAGAUUUGAUUAAAUUUACAACCAAAUCUUUUUCUAAACUCAAAUAAGCAACAAUAUCCUCGUGACCAAAUAUUAACCAAAUCUCAUCCACGCAAUUAUUUCAGUGUUAAACAAAUUUAUCUACAAAUUUAUUCAACAAAUUCUAAAGAUCAUGUUUUGAGAGCUUAAGAAAUGGAGACCAAAAACGUUGCUGGAUGAGAAAUGUGUUGCUGCUGUGAACUAUGCUUCUCUGUUGCUCUCGGUUUAGAAAACAAUAUGCAAGGCUACUGGAUCUUGGACUGCUAUUAUUGCUUCUCGUGGUUGAGACUUGAGAGAGACACUUGCUGCUUUCUCACGGUGGAACCAGAGUUGCUGAUGAAGAUCAAUCUCUGCUGCUAUUAUGAGAUGGUUGGCCCUGCUAAUAGAGUAGGUGCUGCUACUGCUAACUCACGAUUGAUGCAGAGGAGACUAAGGCUUAGCUGCUGUUGCACAGCUGAGAAGAAACUCUUUUCUUCUGGAAGGAGGAUGAUGCUGCUGAGAGGAAUUGCAUGAGGAUGUCGGUCACUUCUGUUGAACCGCUGAGGAGAAAACUGCUGCUGCUGGAGAUCAAACCACGCUGCUGCUCUUGGAUUGGAAUGGAUCUCUUGUGGUCAGCUGAAAAUUUUGCUGGUGCAGCUCUCGUCCACAAUGCUGGCGCAAAGGGGAAGAAGUGUUGGGCGCUCCUGUUUGCUGUGGAGAACUUGCUGGACAUAGCUGCCGGCCUGAGGAAGAGCAAAUGGAACACUGGAGGCUCACAGUUCAGCUGAGCAAGAAGAAAUUAACUACUGGAUGCUGCUGGACUAUGGAAUAGAUGGUUGUCCGUGUGGUGGACGCUGCUGUUGACUACAAUGAAGGGCUGGAGUAGAAAUGGUCAGUUUUUACUAGGAGGAGAAGGUCUUGGGUUUUGCUAAGACAGAGAAGAUAGAGGGAAGUGAGAGAGAGAGA